rnacentral:rRNA from 1 species
UACGGGAGGCAGCAGUGGGGAAUCUUGCGCAAUGGGCGAAAGCCUGACGCAGCCAUGCCGCGUGAAUGAUGAAGGUCUUAGGAUUGUAAAAUUCUUUCACCGGGGACGAUAAUGACGGUACCCGGAGAAGAAGCCCCGGCUAACUUCGUGCCAGCAGCCGCGGUAAUACGAAGGGGCUAGCGUUGCUCGGAAUUACUGGGCGUAAAGGGCGCGUAGGCGGAUCGUUAAGUCAGAGGUGAAAUCCCAGGGCUCAACCCCUGGAACUGCCUUUUGAUACUGGCGAUCUUGAGUAUGAGAGAGGUAUGUGGAACUCCGAGUGUAGAGGUGAAAUUCGUAGAUAUUCGGAAGAACACCAGUGGCGAAGGCGACAUACUGGCUCAUUACUGACGCUGAGGGCGCGAAAGCGUGGGGAGCAAACAGGGAUUAGAUACC